ensembl:lncRNA
UCUUGCCAGGACCCUGAUUUGUCCAUCUGUGCGCAUGUUUUGCCCACACAGUGCCGGUGGUGUUCCAUGUGCAGCCCAAAUCCAGCUUGCUACUUAUUCUGCAAAAGGACUGAGUUCAGAGCCCACAUGCCCAAAUUCCUCCUUCCCCAUCCCAGGCAUUCACAGAACAACUUCAGCAGGAUUUGAUCAGCUGGAACAGUUUCCUGUACACUUCCCUGCAUGGGAAGAAAUCCAUCCUGGGAAUGCCUUCAGGGAGUCCUGCAGGUGCACACUGACGCUCCCCAGAGAGACGCACAUCUUCAAACUUGCUGAGCAUGGUGACCAUACUCAUGAGUGGAAGAAGGUUGUGCAGCACGUCCAGGAGGUGGUUGGUGUGAGCGUGGAAGGAGGAGAGCUUAUGGCAGGUUGUCCUUACAAACAGAAGGCAGCGCUUUGUUGGAGCCAGGCAUUGAGGUUAGAAGUGGGCAUCUGUAAGCGGGUCAUGAAAGGAAACUUUUGUACAUCCUCACUGCCUCUUUGAGACAGGCAUUCACAAGUAGCAGGUGCCAGUCCUGAUGCCUGCACUUGUCCUGCCCUCCCUCCUUUACCUUGAGGAGGCUGCUGCUUGGAGUAUGGUGCAGCAUCCGUGGGGCACCGCUGUCCAUUGCAGCACUGAGCCCUUCAUGUAUGGCUGUGUCUGAGCCACCACUCUGUCUACGAUUCCUUGUUCAUUUUAUUUUUCUUUUCUUUUUAAAGACAACCUCAUUGGAAAUGCAGAAGCAAAGUGCACUCCUUUGUUGGGUUAACUCAGCCCAGCUGCACUGGCCACAGCAGAAUGAAGGCUGGUUGACCAGUGAAAGCACUGGCUUGUGUAUUCUGGACUGGUUUUGUUUUCUUUCAUCCUGACCCCUUCCUUCACUUCUUAAAAAAUGGCUGUUACGGUUCUUUAGGCUUGUUGUAGUCAUACAUCCUGACUGAUACAAUUGGAGAACUUUCCUUCAGAAAGCAACAAAGCUUUAGCAACUGAUAUCUGGGCUACAGAUUCAAUUGGUACUUUAGAUUAUUUUGCACUUAAGAAAGAGGGGCCAAACUUCACUUGACUACUAUAUUUCACUAUGAUGCUGCUAGAAACAUUGCUUAAUGGAGACAUACUAAGUUAGACAUAAAUAAUGUUCUGUAUUUCAUAGAUUUUUCUCCACCAGCAUAUAUUGGCUAGAUUGCUUAGUUGUCUUUUUCUGGAGUUUCAUUGUCAUUACUCAGCCAAGAGAAGUGUGACUCUAGAAUUAAGGUGUUUUCUAGCAGAUCUGUUAAGAGAAGAGAUAAUAAACACUAAGGUCACAAACAUUUGCUAGGUUGUCCUUUUAAAUGCAUGUGCAAGCUGCAUUUCUCCUUUAUUUCUAAGCCAUGGUUUAUAAAUAAAUUUAUACCAACCUUAUUAGACUUGUAUAAUUUAUGCAAGAUUAUACGCUUCAAAAUAAAAAUCAGUACACACCUAUCAUCAGCUUUGGUGGCAUCAUAGGCCUGAAACCAGACAAUACUUUUAUAUUUGCUCUCCUUAGGCUUUUGCAUGCAUAUGACAACAGGCAGGCCUGAGAAAACACUGCCUUUUGACUUUUAACAUUUUAGCUACUCCGAGUUGUAGAGUACAUAAAGCUGUAAGUCUCUUCACUUUAUAAUGUGAUUCUUAUAACAAUGUUAUCUGGCUACCAACAGCAUCCACCAUGAAAUACUUGAUAGAUUUAUGUUGUAAUGUGUUGCAGCAUGUAAAUAAUGUAACUUCUCUGCAAUAAAGCACAUUUAUAUGAAAUCUGUCUACAGUCUUUUGGGUUGUGAAUUUUAUGAAGUCAUUACUGAUCCAAACUAAACUAAUAAAGCAUCAUAAAC